UGAGGAAUAUUGGUCAAUGGACGAGAGUCUGAACCAGCCAAGUAGCGUGAAGGAUGACUGCCCUAUGGGUUGUAAACUUCUUUUAUACGGGAAUAAAGUUAGCCACGUGUGGCUUUUUGUAUGUACCGUAUGAAUAAGGAUCGGCUAACUCCGUGCCAGCAGCCGCGGUAAUACGGAGGAUCCGAGCGUUAUCCGGAUUUAUUGGGUUUAAAGGGAGCGUAGGCGGGUUGUUAAGUCAGUUGUGAAAGUUUGCGGCUCAACCGUAAAAUUGCAGUUGAUACUGGCGACCUUGAGUGCAACAGAGGUAGGCGGAAUUCGUGGUGUAGCGGUGAAAUGCUUAGAUAUCACGAAGAACUCCGAUUGCGAAGGCAGCUUACUGGAUUGUAACUGACGCUGAUGCUCGAAAGUGUGGGUAUCAAACAGGAUUAGAUACCCUGGUAGUCCACACAGUAAACGAUGAAUACUCGCUGUUGGCGAUAUACGGUCAACGGCCAAGCGAAAGCAUUAAGUAUUCCACCUGGGGAGUACGCCGGCAACGGUGAAACUCAAAGGAAUUGACGGGGGCCCGCACAAGCGGAGGAACAUGUGGUUUAAUUCGAUGAUACGCGAGGAACCUUACCCGGGCUUAAAUUGCAACUGACUGAACCGGAAACGGUUCUUUCUUCGGACAGUUGUGAAGGUGCUGCAUGGUUGUCGUCAGCUCGUGCCGUGAGGUGUCGGCUUAAGUGCCAUAACGAGCGCAACCCUUAUCGAUAGUUACUAGCAGGUCAUGCUGAGGACUCUAUUGAGACUGCCGUCGUAAGAUGUGAGGAAGGUGGGGAUGACGUCAAAUCAGCACGGCCCUUACGUCCGGGGCUACACACGUGUUACAAUGGGGGGUACAGAAGGCAGCUACACGGCGACGUGGUGCUAAUCCCGAAAGCCUCUCUCAGUUCGGAUUGGAGUCUGCAACCCGACUCCAUGAAGCUGGAUUCGCUAGUAAUCGCGCAUCAGCCACGGCGCGGUGAAUACGUUCCC
rnacentral:rRNA from 1 species